ACAAUGUGCGGUUAUGGUUUACGUGAUUGAGACGUUAUACCAAUCGAGAGAUUGUGGACUUGUAUGAUGUGAUAGCCGUUGGGUUUUAGAUAUGCAAGCAGUUUUGUAAGCCAGUCUGAUUAGCUAAAUGAGAGUCUCGCUGCUUAAUUUAUUGUCUACCGUUUAUUUUACUAUUUAACUAAUUAACUAAUCGGAAUGCCACUUGUUUUUUUUAUUUGGGAUAUAUUGUAGAUUACUAGUGUGAGAUUGUGUAUUAAUUUACUGAUUAUUCACGUUUAGCGUCUUAAAAUUAUCAGCUGGAUUUGCGAAGAAUGUAAAAUAUUAGUUAUAUAAUUUAGAACUAGGUGAUAACCCGCACCCUGCGCGGAGCGAGGAAAUUAUUAAUGUAUUAUAAAUUUUAAUAUGUAGGUUUGGUAUCGAAUUGCUCCACUAUUUAUAUCAACACAUCACAUAGAUUUUUUACUCUCCACGCCAAAUUGAAUAGACGAUCACAAUAUUAAUGCUCCUCUUUAAUCCCAUAUAUUACACUUACCUUAUUUGGUUAUUGCGUGAUUCAAAUUGGCGUGAAAUAUGUACUAUCAGAUGCGUGUUGGUCAAGCGUAAAUAAAUCAGGAAUAUUCUUAUUUUGAUUAAGGUAAUGAUUUCGAUUAUUUGUAAUUUUGUUUCCUUUUAUAUGCAUUACAUUAUUAUUGUGUUUCCUUUGAACUUUGACCAAUUAAGCGAUUUGAAAUGUUGCAUAGAAAUGAUCAUCGAAAGAAGUAGUUGAAAUUUCGAAAGAUGUUGCAUAGAAAUGUUCAUAAUUCCAAGUUUCUUAUUAAAAAAGUAUGAUUAUAAUACUCAUUGAUAUUAGUAAAAAAAAUGUUGGAUUCAAAAAAUGUUCAAAAAAAUAAGAUAACAAACCGUUUUAAAAAAUGUUGAAGAACCACUCUCACCCUUUUAAAAUUCAUUGGAUAGAUGUCGAGAUAUAUUUGUUGCCUUUUUCAACCGUAAAUAAUUCAGAUUCUACGCCUGUCAUAAAGUCCCGGUUUGUGAUUAAAGCGGAUUGUAAUGCAGCGGUAACAAAACCGAUCGAGUUGUAAAUAAAGCAUAUUGUAUAAUGUAUAUGUCCAAUGGCAUUUGGUUGUAAAUAUUCUAGUUCACAAAGGGUUAUUUUAAAAAGCUAGUGAGAGUGGCUUAGGUGAUGACACCUAGAAAAUGGCACUCAUGUAAUAAACACAUGAGGCCAAGGUUUAUUUCUAAUGAUGUUUCUCCUUUAAUAAGAAAGGGAUAUUAAUAUGCUCGACGUGGAACCAACGAUACCGUGUGCCAUAAUUACUAAACUGUGUAUAAAUAACAAAUAAUCUUCAAGUAUAACGUGUUAAUGGAGAUGCUUUACGUAGGUACAUUAUAUUUAAGACAAAUUUAAAAAUACAAAACUGUAGUAGUGGAUGUAUAAAAAUGUAUAUGAUGUUGGGAUUUAAAUCAAUGCUAUAUAAAGACAUAAUAAAACCGAAAAAGUCAAAAUAUGGUAGAUAAAAUAUUCGAGAUAGUAUAUGAAGGUCCAUGUGAUCCCAUGUGGCCUAAUUAUUUACGAAGACAUGCUAACCAAUAGGCAAUUAGGCACCCAAAUGCUUAUUAUAUGCUAAUAUUCAUAAUAUCAAAUAAUUCAACGUGGAUUGUUAUUGGACUGGAGCAUACAAGGUAUUAAUGGUUUGUAAGACUAUUGUUAUUGUGUCAUAAUGAAGCUUUGAAUUUUAAAAUACACAUGUGUGAAUUGUAAAUAAUAAUUUUGACAUAAAAAUAUAUGAUCAUAUGCCUGUAUAAGGAUUAAAUCGCUAAAUAAAUUAUUAAGUAACUAUAUAGUUUGAGUAUGGAUUCAAAGGUAGUAUCGUAUUUUGGGACAACAAUCAUCAUAAAGCUAGAAAAUCAAAUAUUAAGAAAAACUAAUAUGUGUAUAGAGAUUUAUACAAUAAUAAAAAUUCAGUAAAAUGUACUAUUAGUAUUAUGUAAGUAUUUUUCAUCAUCAAUCCGACCCUACUCUAUUGUGUAUUUGUAUAUCUCUUUGCUCUAACAACGUAACAUUGUAUGGUUUACCAAAAAAAAAACGUAACAUUGUAUGUCAUGUCCCAAACAUAUGAAAAAUCCAAAUUAUUUUAUACACAACUCACUAUGCAAUUAAAUAGAAUACUCCAUUUAAUUGGGCGUAUAACGAGUCACACAAAUCAAAAGUCGAUGAUAACACAAACUUUUUGAGUUUAACUAAGACGACUUUAAAGAGGCAACCUUUGGUCGCCUUCAUAAUUCAUUGUUGAUGUUUAAGAUAAAUGUUUUGUUUACUAUGUAGCUGCCAUUUGAAUAACAGGAAAUACAUAUCUUAACCUAAAGUUUAUCAUUUGUUCUAAAAGUGGGCAUAAUCCAAACGUGUUUUCUAUACAUACAUGUGUUCAACCUAACCAAUUUAUUUUCUGGGCUAAACAGUUUCUUCAUGAGAUUAUGCAGAGAAAAAAAAUAAAAGAAAUAUGCAGCGACCUUUAGCACCGGUUAAUUAUGCUAUUACAAACUAUGGGAAACAUUACAUAGAUGAUAUUACAACAGAAAAUUCCACAUGUCUAAUUAUGAGAAUUUUCGUCUGACUGCAUCACCAUGAACCGCUCUAUAAAAUCUAUUCAUGACGGUAUGCCUUGCGCCAUGCCGAAGACUUUUUGUAAACUUUUUCUCCAAUAUUCUGCAUAAUUCACAUUCUCUGGAAAUUAAAACCCAAACCUUCUGGUACAAAAGUAUUAAUGAACUUUUAGUCAAACCACUAGACAAGGGGGUUUCGGAAACCUUGUGAUUUUGGUUUUUAUUUUUAUUAUUAUCAACUCGUUUAUAAUUUUAAAUAAAAUUCUCUAAAUUUAUUUCAAAUUAAGUCUAGACCUUUUUCAUAUAUGUCUAUAAGUAAUACUCCCUCCGUAUCAAAGUGUUACAUAUUUUAGAGAAAAAAAAUUGUUUCAAAAGAUCUAUUUUUUUUGCAUUUUCAAUGUAUGUUUUAUUAAUUAAUUGCAUAUUUCAAAAAACUUAAUUGUACUUAUUAGAUAUUUAUUAGCUUAAAAUUAUGAAAAAGAUAACCACAAAAAGUUAUGCAAAUUUAAUGUGUUUUAUUAAAAUAUGUAACAUUUUGAAACGGAGAGAGUACUUUGCUUAAUAAUGACGACCUAACCAAUUUAUCAAACAGUACCCAUUUAAAAUUCUAUAGCAAUUAUGCUUGAAAAUUGUGUAAAAUGGUACUCUCCCUAUGUAUCACUUUAAGUGAUUUUUAAGGUUUUUGAACUUGAAUCAAGAAAAUACAAACUUCUGUACAAUUUAUUUUGGUUACAUAAAAAUAUCAUUAAAUGAAAUUAAUUCAACCAAUAAGAAAAAAAUCAGUAUUUUACAAUUGGUCACAAAGUUUAAAUAAUGGUAUUAAAUUAUAUCUAGAAUAAUGAAAACAUCAAUUUUUUUGAAACAAAUUUUUUUCUCUAAACACCUCUUAAAGUGAUUCGGAGGGAGUAUUUAGAAAAUAAACGACAGCUAGAAAGCUGAAAGUUUCCUCUUAUUUUCAUUUUCCUUCUUAAUCAUUUUUUUUUCUUCAUUGCUUUUGGGCAUCCAAAGAAUAUUAUCAAAAGUAUUUGCAUAAGAUAACUUGACAAGCAAGAAGAUGAUCAUUUGACUGCUGAGGAAUGUAUAAUUUUGAAAGUAAUUGUUGUUCUAAUCUUAUCUAGCUGAAAUGCAUGUUUGCUUCUACUAUUAUUUCUUAUGUGAACAUCUAGUUUAUCAAAUAUAGUUCGGUUACAUAAAUAUAUAUGAUAUCUUAUGGCUCUAAUUUAUGAAUGAACUUGAUAAUAUCAAUAUUUUCGUUUACAAAAUACCAACUCAAUUAUUUAAUAAAUUAACGUGUUUAUUCUUACUUUUUAGAAAGGAAUACCUUUAGUUUUUACUACUUUUCAAUAACAACUCUUACAAUUGUCAUUCAGCUAACAAAAGUCUGCUAAAUACCAAAUGCCUAACUGGUGCAAUACAUGAGAUGAGACAACGUUUUAUUAUUAUACCGAAGACAAACAUUUUUUUAUUCGACUAAAAAUAUUCUUAUCAGAAACUGAGAUACAUGUUGCAAAAGAUAUCACGAAUAUUUACAUCAUUUGUAUAUAUGUGAACAUGUACAUAAUUUCUAUACAUGUGUACAUGUACAUCAUGGCUAUAAAUGUGAAGGAAUACGAUGUAUGUAGUUUUUUUAACAUGAUGUAUGCAGUUUGUACUAUUUUGGCGCUUCGUAAAGUUUAAACCACUUAACUUUAUAUGUUAUUCCACCACUAUUUGUUUCACUGAUGUAGGAUGUAUAUGAUGUGAUGUCUCACAAAUAAAAAAAACAUUAUAUGUGAUCGUGAUAAUACGCUAGUAAUUUACAUUUAUCGACAAUGAUACACAACACGAAAUAUGAAAUGAUACAAAUAAUUUGGAGAAAUGGCAUGUUCCAUGCAACUUGGACACGUUCUAGGGUCCACCACAUCUUCCAAAGUCCCUGAAACAUAUCCGUAUACACUUGUACUGUAAGUUGAAAUCAUGCAUUUAUUUCCGUGUAAGUGCAGUUAAUUAGGAAAUAAAAUAAAAUGCUGGAUAGUCCUAGGAAAUAAUUGAAUUUGGUGUUUCGAAAAGUUAAAUUUUACUACUCCAUAUUUUACCACUUGCCUUCACUAACCCCUAGAGAUUCACAACAUACUAAUUAACGUUCAUAUGAUUUUCACUUUGAAAUAAAUGAAGAGCAACACAUAUUGGAAAUGGUAAAGGUGAUCUGAUAAACGACAAUAGCGAAAUAAAAGGAACCCCAAACGGCACGCAUCUGACCGCAAAACGUUGGAAAAACGAUCACGGCGUCAGGCUGACAAUAAUUGGAAAAUAACAAACGAUAAGGUCACAAUAUCCUAACGGGAAGCAUCGUCGGCUGGUUCUUCAGGUCAACGCAAUAAACAAAACAAAUAGUAUUACAAAAACUGAAUCAUAAGAAAACGAACAAAAACAUGAUUUAUUGUAUAACACCAAAUGAAUCUAAACAUAUAUCUUACCGAUAAAAGAACAAUAUAGAGUAGAUUUACUUUGAUUACAGAUGAUACUGAAUUGCGUAUUAAUUAAAUCAAGUAUACGUCGUAUAAAAAAAGAAAUAAAUCUUGAGUAAUUGGCUUAGAUACACCCAGAAACCCAUGUAAUUUGCCAUAUAACCUUGUUUCUUUUUAAUAUUUUUAAUGACUAUAAUACCAUUAUCUCUAUCUCUCUCUUCUCCCUUUUAUGUGUUCUAAUUUCUUUAUCUUUCGUACAAAUUUUUCAAAUCAUCUUCUAAUUCAACACAAAUCUUUAUUUUUUUUAUUCUGAUUCUUUUGACACCCAUAAUGCUAAUCUUAUUAUCUCACCACAAUUUCAAUGUUUCCAAUUUCGAAUCACAAUCAACUUUUAGAUAAUAUAUAUGUUAGUAGGUAUUUUAUUACUUAUCUGCUAUUAUUUAGAUUUUAAUGGAUUCUUAAUCGAUACAUGAAGUGUUAGCUGUUACAAAUAGAUUUGGAGCUAUUUAAUAGAUAACUAAUUAAUUGUUAAUAGUUUCAUUAACUGAUAUAUGAUUUGUUAGUCGAUACAUUUGUUUGAUACAUAGAUUGUUAGAUGAUACUGAAAUUAUUAGCGGAUAUGUUAGUUGGUAUGUAGAUUGUUACCUGCUAUGUAAAUAUUUAGCUGAUAAAUUUAGAGUUGCUUGUUUUCGACAAAGCAUAAGGGCAUUUUCGUCUGCACAGUGUCAUAAUGUUACUCAUUUUUGGGUUAUCCAUAAUUAUGGGUAUUCAGCAAAUUUAGACCUUAAUUGGGGAUAUUCCACACAUUAACUCAUAAAUCUUUGGUCAGCCAUGCGAGACAUGGUAGCUUUAUUAUUUACAAAUAUAGACACAGUACUUGACUCAUAAUUGUUUGUACGGUCGACAUCACAUGAAAUAAAGCAGAAGUUGUAGAUAUCCCGUGAGUAGCAUCAACUUUUGUAUUUUGUUUUAUACAUUUCUUAUAUUAUCCUUGCUUAGAGGUGAUAUAAUUUGCUGAUGUGUGUGAUUUAUUUUCUAAUUACCAGUCAAAUUAAGUAAGAUAAUUAGUAAAAUCUGGUUUUUAAAUACUUGAGCGGUGUUUAUCUAUCCAUCCUUGUAUCUAUCAAUCGUUGUCCCGAAGUCAAGCGCAAAAGGCGGACGGUGAGAUUCCAGAAAGGUUCCUCCCAAAGACCAAGAGGCGUAUUUACUCAUCAGUUGAAAUUCAGAUGCAGCAUUUAUUGUCAUAGAGAAUUGAAGCGUGUAUAAGAAGUAAUAUGGUCGGGUUUCAAUUAUUACGUUCUUCCAAAUUUGUGAGUUUUUGCCAAUAUUGGCAUCUUACCUAAAAAGUAAAAUGGUGGUACUAAAGUCACGUUGCGACUUCUAUCAACUGGUUAGGACCAUAAGUGAUAGUUGAACGACCAACUCAAAUGUAUGUUUCGCGACACGAUCCAGGAAAAGUGGAUCAAGACUGGGACGAAUAUUGAAGUCACGUAAAAAUGUAUAGAUAAUUGGAUCAACGUUGAUAUUUCGUAUUUUUUUCUUUUCUAUUAUGAAAUGAGAAAUUCUUGGGUUCACCCCCUAGGGUGAACCUCUAGAUUCACCAACCAAUAGUGUUUGAGUAUUUAAUAUUUGAUAUCUUUUAAAAAAGGAAACAAAAUUGAAUUUUCAAAUAAGAUUAUAUUUUUAAAAUAAAACAAUAAAAAUACAUAAAAAUAGUUACAAAAAAUAAAUAAAUAAAUAUUAUUAAACUUUUAGCAAAAUACUAAAUCCUAUACCCUAAAUCCUAAACUCUAAACCCUAAAUUAUAAAUCUUAAAUCUUGGAUAAACCGUAAACCAUUGGAAAAUUUUAAACCCUAAAUCAUACAUUAAAAACUAAAUCUUAAUAACACUAAACCCUAAACCCUAAUCACUAAACCCUAAACCCUUGGAUAAACCCUGAACCCUUGGAUAAAUCAUAAACUCUAAAUCAAAAAUAUUUAAAAUUAAACCUUAGAGUUUGUGAUUUCUCCAAGGGUUCAUAGUUUACCCAAGGUUUAGGGUUUAGUGAUUAGGAUUUAGGGUUUAGUGUUAUUAAAAUUUAGUUUUUAAUGUAUGAUUUAGGGUUUAAGAUUUUUCAACGUUUAGAGUUUAUCCAAAGUUUAAGGUUUAACGUUUAGGGUUUAGAGUUUAGGAUUUAGGGUAUAGGGUUUAGUAUUUUGCUGAAGGUUUAACAAUAUUUAUUUAUUUAUUUUUUGUAACUAUUUUCAUGUAUUUUUAUUAUUUUAUUUUUAAAAUAUAAUUUAAUUUGGAUAUUCAAUUGUGUUUCCCUUUUUAAAAGAUAUCAAAUAUCAAAUACUCAAACACUAUUGGUUGGUGAACCUAGAGGUUCACCCUAGGGGGUGAACCCAAGAAUUUCUCGAAAUGAAAUUAUCGAAUUAAAACCAAAUUUAGCUAUCUAUUUAAUGUGGAAAAUAAAACAAAAUCAAAUCAAGUUAACAAUUGUCCCUAUUAUAUUCCAUAUAAAAUAGUAAGAAAACAUGUAUUUUUAAAAAUUCAAACUCAGAACUUCGAAGUUAUAGUCAUGAACCAUUUAUAAGAAAAUUUGGCAUGUUGACCCACGAUUGAUUUUAGUUUGGAUAAUUCAGCUUGCAUCAAAUAACCACCCUUAGUUAAUAACUAAUAUAAUAUCUUUGAUAAAAAGAUUAAAAUAAUAUAGUCAAAGGGGGCAAAAGGUACCGUAAAGGAUACCAAAGACUUUGAGACUAAUCAACAUGACAAAAGGUAACUUGACAUAGCAACAUGAAAGAAACCAGUUGAAAGUUGAGACAGUUGCGGUUUGAAAAAGAAAAGAGUGUUAUAGGUUUUGGACCCAACGUGCUAAUAGUAAACGCGAAACAUCAUCAUAUCAAGAGGAUUUGCUUUGAACACUCCCCCAUAGGAUUAUGAUUCUUCAGUGCAAGGCAGCUGGAUCAACUAGCUCUUUGUAGACGAUAAAUACUUUAUGCCGAUAACAGUAGGCAAACCUUUCUAAACAAAGAUAAAAAUUUAAUGAAUUGGUAAAAUAACGAAUAUGCGACUUACUCUCAUGGAUACGUCCGUAAAAGAAUCUUUCACCUCUCCAGUAUUCAAGUGGUCUUGACUUAGGCCAAUUCCAAUGAGACACCAAAACACCAAAUUUGUUGUAGUUUUUUUUUUCCAGUGGAACGCCAAAAAAUAUAUCAUUCCACCAAAUUUGGUGUAACACUAUUUAUCACACCAAAUGUUUUAUAUACAUAUUUUAUUAUGUUUCAUUUAAUAAUGUAGUUCAAUUAUUAUUAUUAGUUAAAACAUAAAUAUACUGUACUUUUUGCAUUUUAAAAUUAUUAUUACAUGUAUCUAAUAUAUUUUUCAGAACCAGUAUGAUGUAAUAUAGUUUUAUUUUCAAAUAUCGAUUAUAAUCUUUAUUCAAUUUAAUCAGAGUCAUAGUUUAGUAUUUUUAAACCGAUAGAGUGGCUUUGAAGCAUUAGUAGCGAAUGGAUAAUGUUUUCGUUUGCUCUGGUCACUUUCACUCUCACCAUGAAGGGUUUUGCUUUGCUUUAUCAUAUUGCUUUCGCAAGAUCCUCUCUUUCUUCGUUUAUUUGUAUGUUUGGGUGAAGAGUUGUGAGCCUCCUCCUCCUGCUGAGAAGAAGUCAAUAAAGAACUCUCAUAUUCGUUUUGUUAAGUAAGCUCAUAUAAUUGAACUAAGCCUAAACACACAAUAUACUCUCUAUUAACAACACACAACAUCUAAGAAAAACAACAAAAUCUAACGAUUCUGUUCAGUGAGUUACUUUAAACAUGGAUUUUAAAACAAGGAUCACUACAGUUAAGAAAACCUUUAGUGGUUUGCAAAGGAUAAACAUAGAAAGAAUCAAUGAUGAAAAAACUUUGAGUCACAACUUUUAAGUGAACCGAGAUUGUCAAUAGAGGUGUAUGUACAAGCUACAUAAGGAGAUAUAUGUUAGUUUGCUUGUCUAAUUUUUGAGAUUUCACUAAAGUUUGAAGGUGAAAAAGGUUAUCAUACCUUGCUGAUAUGGGAUGAUCUCCAGUAAAAGGUUCCAUUCUUGCAUCCUCUUUAGAUGCAUAUUCCGCCUAUAUCAGAAAUAAAGUCACAAGAGAUACAAAAUAUGUUGAUAAAAGUCAUGAAUGGUCGAGGAGAAACUAACCAGGUUGUGAGCAAGCAAACAAGCAACUCAGUCAAAAUAUUGUCUGUGUCUGCGAUUAUAUCUGCAGAACACAAUGGCUCAACGCUAUUAGAGACUUAACAAAAUGGUUAGAGAACAUGGUCAAACAAAACUGUAGCUCAUGAUAUUUCUUUCCUACUACAAGUGCUCUCGCUCACCAUCUACUUCUCUGUCCUCUCUAACCUUUGUUCAGAAGGAACAGGGUUUUCCUUUUCUAAAGCUUUCAGGGCAAUAAGAUCACUAUCCGUGUACGUAUGCUUUGUAUACACCCCGUUUUCUCCUGUAAUUUGAAAUUAUAAGUAUCUUAUUGGAACAUGCAGUAACAGAGGCGCCUUGAUAAUUGAUAUAUGGCUCGUUGAUUAACUGUUUUUCAAAACCAGCGAAAAAAAAUUCAUAUUUGAAUGGUAGUGUUACAUAAUAAACAAGGUAAAGGCUAUGAGCAUUUAAAAAAAAAA